CCAUGCGAGUCAUUGUAGUAAUACAAGGCAGACGGCUCAGUAACGCGUAGUCAACCUACCCUAUGGACGGGGAUAACCUCGGGAAACUGAGAAUAAUACCCGAUAGAACAUUAUGCCUGGAAUGGUUUAUGUUUCAAAUAAUUUAUUGCCGUAGGAUGGGACUGCGGCCUAUCAGUUUGUUGGUGAGGUAAUGGCCCACCAAGACUAUUACAGGUACGGGCUCUGAGAGGAGUAGCCCGGAGAUGGGUACUGAGACACGGACCCAGGCCCUAUGGGGCGCAGCAGGCGAGAAAACUUUGCAAUGUGCGAAAGCACGACAAGGUUAAUCCGAGUGGUUUCUGCUAAAGGAACCUUUUGUCAGUCCUAGAAACACUGAUGAAUAAGGGGUGGGCAAGUUCUGGUGUCAGCCGCCGCGGUAAAACCAGCACCUCAAGUGGUCAGGAUGAUUAUUGGGCCUAAAGCAUCCGUAGCCUGCUUUGUAAGUUUUCGGUUAAAUCCAUAUGCUCAACAUAUGGGCUGCCGGGAAUACUGCAAAGCUAGGGAGUGGGAGAGGUAGACGGUACUCGGUAGGAAGGGGUAAAAUCCUUUGAUCUAUUGAUGACCACCUGUGGCGAAGGCGGUCUACCAGAACACGUCCGACGGUGAGGGAUGAAAGCUGGGGGAGCAAACCGGAUUAGAUACCCGGGUAGUCCCAGCUGUAAACUAUGCAAACUCAGUGAUGCAUUGGCUUGAUGCCAAUGCAGUGCUGCAGGGAAGCCGUUAAGUUUGC
rnacentral:rRNA from 1 species